rnacentral:rRNA from 1 species
GACGAACGCUGGCGGCGUGCCUAAUACAUGCAAGUCGAGCGGACAGAAGGGAGCUUGCUCCCGGAAGUUAGCGGCGGACGGGUGAGUAACACGUGGGCAACCUACCCUGUAGAUCGGGAUAACAUCGAGAAAUCGGUGCUAAUACCGGAUAAUCAUUUGAAGUGCAUGCUUCGAAUGUAAAAGAUGGCUCCGGCUAUCACUACGGGAUGGGCCCGCGGCGCAUUAGCUAGUUGGUAAGGUAAUGGCUUACCAAGGCAACGAUGCGUAGCCGACCUGAGAGGGUGAUCGGCCACACUGGGACUGAGACACGGCCCAGACUCCUACGGGAGGCAGCAGUAGGGAAUCUUCCGCAAUGGACGAAAGUCUGACGGAGCAACGCCGCGUGAGUGAUGAAGGUUUUCGGAUCGUAAAGCUCUGUUGUUAGGGAGGAACAAGUGCCGUUUGAAUAAGGCGGCACCUCGACGGUACCUAACCAGAAAGCCACGGCUAACUACGUGCCAGCCGCCGCCGUAAUAC